rnacentral:rRNA from 1 species
UACGUAGGGCGCAAGCGUUGUCCGGAAUUAUUGGGCGUAAAGAGCUCGUAGGCGGCCUGUUACGUCUGCUGUGAAAUCCCGGGGCUUAACCCCGGGCGUGCAGUGGAUACGGGCAGGCUGGAGGCAGGCAGGGGAGAACGGAAUUCCCGGUGUAGCGGUGAAAUGCGCAGAUAUCAGGAGGAACACCGAUGGCGAAGGCAGGUCUCUGGGCCGAUACUGACGCUGAGGAGCGAAAGCGUGGGGAGCGAACAGG